rfam:Felis catus isolate Cinnamon breed Abyssinian chromosome D4, whole genome shotgun sequence.
GCCUGAGUGGCUCAGUUGGUUGAGCGUCUGACUUCGGCUCAGGUCAUGAUCUCGCGGCCAGUGAGUUUGAGCCCCGCGUCGGGCU